rnacentral:rRNA from 1 species
GGGUUGUGAGGUUAAGCGACUAAGCGUACACGGUGGAUGCCCUGGCAGUCAGAGGCGAUGAAGGACGUGCUAAUCUGCGAUAAGCGUCGGUGAGGUGAUAUGAACCGUUAUAACCGGCGAUUUCCGAAUGGGGAAACCCAGUGUGUUUCGACACACUAUCAUUAACUGAAUCCAUAGGUUAAUGAGGCGAACCGGGGGAACUGAAACAUCUAAGUACCCCGAGGAAAAGAAAUCAACCGAGAUUCCCCCAGUAGCGGCGAGCGAACGGGGAGGAGCCCAGAGCCUGAAUCAGUGUGUGUGUUAGUGGAAGCGUCUGGAAAGGCGCGCGAUACAGGGUGACAGCCCCGUACACAAAAAUGCACACAUUGUGAGCUCGAUGAGUAGGGCGGGACACGUGGUAUCCUGUCUGAAUAUGGGGGGACCAUCCUCCAAGGCUAAAUACUCCUGACUGACCGAUAGUGAACCAGUACCGUGAGGGAAAGGCGAAAAGAACCCCGGCGAGGGGAGUGAAAAAGAACCUGAAACCGUGUACGUACAAGCAGUGGGAGCCUCUUAAUGGGGUGACUGCGUACCUUUUGUAUAAUGGGUCAGCGACUUAUAUUCUGUAGCAAGGUUAACCGAAUAGGGGAGCCGAAGGGAAACCGAGUCUUAACUGGGCGCUAAGUUGCAGGGUAUAGACCCGAAACCCGGUGAUCUAGCCAUGGGCAGGUUGAAGGUUGGGUAACACUAACUGGAGGACCGAACCGACUAAUGUUGAAAAAUUAGCGGAUGACUUGUGGCUGGGGGUGAAAGGCCAAUCAAACCGGGAGAUAGCUGGUUCUCCCCGAAAGCUAUUUAGGUAGCGCCUCGUGAAUUCAUCUCCGGGGGUAGAGCACUGUUUCGGCAAGGGGGUCAUCCCGACUUACCAACCCGAUGCAAACUGCGAAUACCGGAGAAUGUUAUCACGGGAGACACACGGCGGGUGCUAACGUCCGUCGUGAAGAGGGAAACAACCCAGACCGCCAGCUAAGGUCCCAAAGUCAUGGUUAAGUGGGAAACGAUGUGGGAAGGCCCAGACAGCCAGGAUGUUGGCUUAGAAGCAGCCAUCAUUUAAAGAAAGCGUAAUAGCUCACUGGUCGAGUCGGCCUGCGCGGAAGAUGUAACGGGGCUAAACCAUGCACCGAAGCUGCGGCAGCGACACUAUGUGUUGUUGGGUAGGGGAGCGUUCUGUAAGCCUGUGAAGGUGGCCUGUGAGGGUUGCUGGAGGUAUCAGAAGUGCGAAUGCUGACAUAAGUAACGAUAAAGCGGGUGAAAAGCCCGCUCGCCGGAAGACCAAGGGUUCCUGUCCAACGUUAAUCGGGGCAGGGUGAGUCGACCCCUAAGGCGAGGCCGAAAGGCGUAGUCGAUGGGAAACAGGUUAAUAUUCCUGUACUUGGUGUUACUGCGAAGGGGGGACGGAGAAGGCUAUGUUGGCCGGGCGACGGUUGUCCCGGUUUAAGCGUGUAGGCUGGUUUUCCAGGCAAAUCCGGAAAACCAAGGCUGAGGCGUGAUGACGAGGCACUACGGUGCUGAAGCGACAAAUGCCCUGCUUCCAGGAAAAGCCUCUAAGCAUCAGGUAACAUCAAAUCGUACCCCAAACCGACACAGGUGGUCAGGUAGAGAAUACCAAGGCGCUUGAGAGAACUCGGGUGAAGGAACUAGGCAAAAUGGUGCCGUAACUUCGGGAGAAGGCACGCUGAUAUGUAGGUGAAGCGACUUGCUCGUGGAGCUGAAAUCAGUCGAAGAUACCAGCUGGCUGCAACUGUUUAUUAAAAACACAGCACUGUGCAAACACGAAAGUGGACGUAUACGGUGUGACGCCUGCCCGGUGCCGGAAGGUUAAUUGAUGGGGUUAGCGGUAACGCGAAGCUCUUGAUCGAAGCCCCGGUAAACGGCGGCCGUAACUAUAACGGUCCUAAGGUAGCGAAAUUCCUUGUCGGGUAAGUUCCGACCUGCACGAAUGGCGUAAUGAUGGCCAGGCUGUCUCCACCCGAGACUCAGUGAAAUUGAACUCGCUGUGAAGAUGCAGUGUACCCGCGGCAAGACGGAAAGACCCCGUGAACCUUUACUAUAGCUUGACACUGAACAUUGAGCCUUGAUGUGUAGGAUAGGUGGGAGGCUUUGAAGUGUGGACGCCAGUCUGCAUGGAGCCGACCUUGAAAUACCACCCUU